rnacentral:ncRNA from 1 species
UUUAUGGAGAGUUUGAUCCUGGCUCAGGACGAACGCUGGCGGCGUGCCUAAUACAUGCAAGUCGAGCGAAUGGAUGGGAGCUUGCUCCCUGAAAUUAGCGGCGGACGGGUGAGUAACACGUGGGCAACCUGCCCUGUAGACUGGGAUAACUUCGGGAAACCGAAGCUAAUACCGGAUAAUCUUUGGAGCCUCAUGGUUCUAAAGUGAAAGUUGGGUUUACCUAACACUACA